rnacentral:rRNA from 1 species
GAUGAACGCUAGCUCACAGGCUUAACACAUGCAAGUCGAGGGGCACCAGGAAGAAAGCCUCGGCUUUUCUUUCGCGGGCGACCGGCGCACGGGUGAGUAACACGUAUCCAACCUCGCCCUUUACUCGGGGAUAGCCUUCUUCGAAAAGAAAGAAUCAUACCCGAACGGGAUAAUUCAUUCCGCACGGUUUCGAUUCAUUAAAGGAUUUCCGGUAAAGGAUGGGGAUCGCGUUUCCAUUCAGGUUCGUUGGUGAGGUAACGGCUCACCAAGCCUUCGAUGGAUAGGGGUUUCUGAGAGGAAAGGUCCCCCACAUUGGAACUGAGACACGGUCCAAACUCCUACGGGAGGCAGCAGUGAGGAAAUAUUGGUCAAUGGGCGCGAGCCUGAACCAGCCAAGUAGCGUGAAGGAUGACUGCCCUAUGGGUUGUAAACUUCUUUUAUAUUAGAAAUAAAGUGCAGUAUGUAUACUGUUUUGUUAUGUAUAAUAUGAAUAAGGAUCGGCUAACUCCGUGCCAGCAGCCGCGGUAAUACGGAGGAUUCCGAGCGUUAUCCGGAUUUAUUUGGGUUUAAAGGGAGCGUAGGUGGACUGGUAAGUCAGUUGUGAAAUUUUGCGGCUCAACCGUAAAAUUGCAGUUUGAUACUGUCAGUCUUGAGUACAGUAGAGGUGGGCGGAAUUCGUGGUGUAGCGGUGAAAUGCUUAGAUAUCACGAAGAACUCCGAUUGCGAAGGCAGCUCACUGGACUGCAACUGACACUGAUGCUCGAAAGUGUGGGUAUCAAACAGGAUUAGAUACCCUGGUAGUCCACACAGUAAACGAUGAAUACUCGCUGUUUGCGAUAUACAGUAAGCGGCCAAGCGAAAGCAUUAAGUAUUCCACCUGGGGAGUACGCCGGCAACGGUGAAACUCAAAGGAAUUGACGGGGGCCCGCACAAGCGGAGGAACAUGUGGUUUAAUUCGAUGAUACGCGAGGAACCUUACCCGGGCUUAAAUUGCAGUGGAAUGAUGUGGAAACAUGUCAGUGAGCAAUCACCGCUGUGAAGGUGCUGCAUGGUUGUCGUCAGCUCGUGCCGUGAGGUGUCGGCUUAAGUGCCAUAACGAGCGCAACCCUUAUCUUCAGUUACUAACAGGUCAUGCUGAGGACUCUGGAGAGACUGCCGUCGUAAGAUGUGAGGAAGGUGGGGAUGACGUCAAAUCAGCACGGCCCUUACGUCCGGGGCUACACACGUGUUACAAUGGGGGGUACAGAAGGCAGCUACCUGGUGACAGGAUGCUAAUCCCAAAAGCCUCUCUCAGUUCGGAUCGAAGUCUGCAACCCGACUUCGUGAAGCUGGAUUCGCUAGUAAUCGCGCAUCAGCCACGGCGCGGUGAAUACGUUCCCGGGCCU